rnacentral:rRNA from 1 species
GACGAACGCUGGCGGCGUGCCUAAUACAUGCAAGUCGAACGCAGUGGGGACGGGUGAGUAACACGUGGGUAACCUCCCAUCAGAGGGGAUAACACUUGGAAACAGGUGCUAAACCGAUACUGAUGGAUGGACCCGCGGUGCAUUAGCUAGUUGGUGAGGUAACGGCUCACCAAGGUCACGAUGCAUAGCCGACGUGGUAGUGGAAUACUCCCCACUGGGAGUGAGACACGGCCCAGACUCCUCCAUCACCACCACUUAUCUAAUCUUCGGCAAUGUACGAAAGUCUGACCCAGCAACGCCGCGUGAGUGAAGAAUUUUUUCGGAUCUUAAAACUCUGUUGUUAGAGAAGCGGUAUCUAACCAGAAAGCCACGGCUAACUACGUGCCAGCAGCCGCGGUAAUUC